rnacentral:rRNA from 1 species
ACAUGCAAGUCGAGGGGAAACGACAUCGAAAGCUUGCUUUUGAUGGGCGUCGACCGGCGCACGGGUGAGUAACGCGUAUCCAACCUGCCCACCACUUGGGGAUAACCUUGCGAAAGUAAGACUAAUACCCAAUGAUAUCCCUAGAAGACAUCUGAAAGAGAUUAAAGAUUUAUCGGUGAUGGAUGGGGAUGCGUCUGAUUAGCUUGUUGGCGGGGUAACGGUCCACCAAGGCGACGAUCAGUAGGGGUUCUGAGAGGAAGGUCCCCCACAUUGGAACUGAGACACGGUCCAAACUCCUACGGGAGGCAGCAGUGAGGAAUAUUGGUCAAUGGACGAGAGUCUGAACCAGCCAAGUAGCGUGCAGGAAGACGGCCCUAUGGGUUGUAAACUGCUUUUAUAAGGGAAUAAAGUGAGUCUCGUGAGACUUUUUGCAUGUACCUUAUGAAUAAGGACCGGCUAAUUCCGUGCCAGCAGCCGCGGUAAUACGGAAGGUCCGGGCGUUAUCCGGAUUUAUUGGGUUUAAAGGGAGCGUAGGCCGGAGAUUAAGCGUGUUGUGAAAUGUAGACGCUCAACGUCUGCACUGCAGCGCGAACUGGUCUUCUUGAGUACGCACAACGUGGGCGGAAUUCGUGGUGUAGCGGUGAAAUGCUUAGAUAUCACGAAGAACUCCGAUUGCGAAGGCAGCUCACGGGAGCGCAACUGACGCUGAAGCUCGAAAGUGCGGGUAUCGAACAGGAUUAGAUACCCUGGUAGUCCGCACGGUAAACGAUGGAUGCCCGCUGUUGGCCUGAAUAGGUCAGCGGCCAAGCGAAAGCAUUAAGCAUCCCACCUGGGGAGUACGCCGGCAACGGUGAAACUCAAAGGAAUUGACGGGGGCCCGCACAAGCGGAGGAACAUGUGGUUUAAUU